GCGACCCCAGGUCAGGCGGACUCCCG
rnacentral:rRNA from 3 species